UCGCUCUGGAGAACAAUAUUAAUGUUUAUGUCAUAAAAUAAUAUAUAUGGUUGUCUAAAAAGUAUUGAGCCAACUUUUUAAAUUUACGCCACAUAAAUUAAGUGUUCUGGCCUAUAUUACGUGUCAAUCCCAUGGCAAAUAUAUGAAAAUCACUCAGCCACUUUUGAUAAACAGAACCAGGAUUGUAGGAUGAACCAAGCGUAACACCACUGUGUCCAAAUUAACAACUCAUGGAGAUACCAUGAAAAGCAUUGAUUGCUUAAAACACCAGGACAGUGAACACGUAAGUCGCGAUGCUCUAAGCAGUGUGUAACAACUCAUCUGACAACGCAAUCCGCCUUUAAAAUGAAUGGCGCUUAAGUUGUUUACUAUACAUUACCGUUAAGGUAAAUGGUAGACGUUAGUAA
rnacentral:ncRNA from 1 species